ensembl:lncRNA
AUAAAUGUCUGACUUAAUCGGAGCCAGGCAAGGGCUGCUGCGGGCUCAGAUGCCAGCUCCCUUGCCCUCUGAGGAGGAUGCGAAGUCACCAGUGGGCUUUCCCUGUCUUGGCCCUGUACACUGAGAACUGGGGGCAGGUGUCGGCGCUGUGCAUUGUUUCUGUUAUUCCAUAACUGUGGAGUGAUCACCUACUAUGUGCUAGGCACUGUUCUAGGUGCUGGGGAUACAGCGGGGAACUAAAAAGACAAAAUUCCUGCCUUAGUGGAGCUUAUAUUUUAGUCGGGAUAAAUAAGCAAAAUAAACGAGAAGGUAAAAUUGGCUAUUUGAAGAAACAGAGCAGGGUAGAGUGAGGAGAAUGAAGAGCUGAGGAGGUGGAGGGUGUUGCAGUUUUAAAUGGGACGGUCAAGGAUGGCCUCACUGAGAUGACAUUUGACAAAGACUUGAAGGAAGUGAGACAGAGCCAUGAGGAUAUCCCUGGGGAAGAGCAUUCGAGGCAGAGGAAACAGCAAGUACAAAGCCUUGAGGCUGUUCUUGGGAAGAACAGAUGUUGUGGACCCUGCUGACCAAUGAGGAAGCUGAAACUCAGGCUGUAAGAGAUGUGAGAAGGGAAGAUGAAGAGAUGCCUUCUGACGACCAGCAUAACCUCAGGCACUCCCAAAGACCUAUGGCUGAUAAGUUCCAAGAUAAGGCCUGUGUCUUCAUGAGGGCAGAGUGAAGCCGGAAUCCUGCCUCAGCAUGUGCUGCCUGGGCAGUGGCUUUCGCCUCUCCAUGCCUAGAGACAUACCGGUGAUGGCAUGAGGAGACGGUCCCCAAAUUGUCUUCCGGGCAUUGGUAUUACAGGUUUGACAAUGAUGUGGAAAACCACACCCUGUAGGCCGAAUCCAGCCUUGAGGCCUGGUGAUACCCGGCAGGAAAGAAGCGAAGUGGAAGAUGGCUCAGGAAGUCUGACUCCAGGCUAAUUCCUUGAGGAAAGCUGGCUUGCCAGGAGCGGUGGAGGCAAGCUGUUGGCUCAGAGUGAAGAAUUGCUAUUGUCUGAGAGAGGCCAUGGAGCUGCAUUUGCUGAGUUCCAGUGGCCGCUGGGGCAUUUGGUUCCUGAAAUCAGAGAAGAGCUUUGAUUUUUCUCUCAGAGACCCUUGGGGAUCAAGACUUAGCUCCUGGCAGGAUCACCUCCUGCAUGAUCGCCAGAAUUCCUGGGCCCUAGUCGGGAUGCAGUUUCCCAGGGCUUCUUUCCCACCGCAGGCCUGAUCAGCAGAUGCUCCUGCUGCCCAGGGAGGUGUGGGAGGGCACCGAGGAGAAACUUCACUGACAUCAUGAUUUUCCGAGACCAGGCCUGAACUAGUUCCUGGUGGUUGAGAAUGUCAGGGCUGGAGGGAAGCGCCUGAGAGCAGACAGUCAAGCAGCACAGAGAAGGAAACCAGGACAGGACCUCAAGGAGAUGCGUCUGCCGUCUGGAAGAAGAUUUCUGAAAAUACAAAACAUGAUGUCAAGGGGGAGCAAUCUCUGAGGGUCUUUUCUCCAGACUAUGGUAUCUUUGGAAUGGAAACCACACAGCUGCAUGAUGAUGCAGGAGGUUGCCAGAUUUCAUUCCAUGGUCCUGACCGCAGUCCAGGUUUGAUCGUCAGCUAUUUAACACACAAGAAGCAGACGAUGUUUAUGACUUCAGACAGCGGCCUUGAUUUCACAGAGAAAAUAGGAAAGCUUAUUAUUUUGCACAUGAACCGUGAGAAGCAGACCAGCUUACUCCCACGAAGGCUGGUCACCUGGUGCCCUGAUGAAGAUUUCUCAGAGGGAAUGUGUGGCCCCUCAUCCCAGUGGCUACCUAGUCACUUCUCAAGAAAGUACAGUGCUCUGAUGACUGGGCGGACGUGCGCGGCCUCUGACUGCGGCCGUGGUGAUGUUCUCUCACACUGUAAAGGGGAGGAACGGGCCCCAGCAUGGAGACUGAUGGAAUCAACACGACUCUGCUGUAAUUUGCAUUCCUUUCUUUCUCAAGGAUGGAAAUUAAUAUUUGGCAUCUAUGAGCCUUUUUUCGAACUUAUCUAAGAAUAAAACCCUCAUUGUUGGAUGCCAUGUCUUGAUAAUAAAUGGCAACAUUAUUCCAUUAUUCUGCAAC